rnacentral:rRNA from 1 species
CAAUAGCGUAUAUUAAAGUUGUUGCGGUUAAAAAGCUCGUAGUUGGAUUUCUGCUGAGGACGAUCGGUCCGCCCACUGGGUGAGUAUCUGGCUCGGCCUUGGCAUCUUCUUGGAGAACGUUGCUGCACUUGACUGUGUGGUGCGGUAUCCAGGACUUUUACUUUGAGGAAAUUAGAGUGUUUCAAGCAGGCGCACGCCUUGAAUACAUUAGCAUGGAAUAAUAAGAUAGGACCUUAGUUCUAUUUUGUUGGUUUCUAGAGCUGAGGUAAUGAUUAAUAGGGAUAGUUGGGGGCAUUCGUAUUUAACUGUCGGAGGUGAAAUUCUUGGAUUUGUUAAAGACGGACUACUGCGAAAGCAUUUGCCAAGGAUGUUUUCAUUGA